UACGAAGGGGGCGAGCGUUGUUCGGAAUUACUGGGCGUAAAGGGCGCGUAGGCGGCCCUUCAAGCCAGGCGUGAAAGCCCCGGGCUCAACCUGGGAAUUGCGCUUGGGACUGAGGGGCUUGAGACCGGGAGAGGUGAGUGGAAUUCCCAGUGGAGAGGUGAAAUUCGUAGAGAUUGGGAAGAACACCGGUGGCGAAGGCGGCUCACUGGACCGGUUCUGACGCUGAGGCGCGAAAGCGUGGGGAGCAAUCAGG
rnacentral:rRNA from 1 species